CCUGAGAUCAUGACCUGAGCCUAAAUCAAGAGUCAGAUGCUUAACUGACUGAGCCACCUAGACCUAACUAGAAGUGGCUUUGAGAAAUCAUGUAAGAAGCUGACAAAUAAGCCUGGAUGUUUGGUGGUUGGACAUCUCCCUGCACAGUGCUUAGCAGAGGUAAAGAGCUGCUUAUCGCUGUUUUCAUCAGUUCACCUCCCUUCCUCAGCCUUCGUCAGAGGUUUGCUAGCUUGCUGGUAUAAACUUCCUCUGAGUUGAUAAUACAAACUCAGGAACAUUAGAACAUGAGUCAUGAUUAUUGUUUGAUUAUUGUUUGAUUAUUAUUUUGUUAUUUUUAGACUUAAAAUAGUAACAAAAUUGUACUAAUUUAUGGUAGCAUAUUUAAUGUUUUUCCUCAGUUCUGGAAUAAGUAAGUAACUAGUUGCUGUUUAAGAGAACAAAAAUCAUAUCUUGCUUCCACUUAGGUGAGAAGAGCCAGUAUAGAAAAAGCAAGAUUUUAGGAGAUUGGGUAUCUACUUAGAGAAUUCAUCAUAAAAAGGUGUCCAGACCAAAUAUUGGAAAAUCUUAUAUUUUAUGAUUUAAUAUCCCCUGUUGUGUUUACCUACAAUAUUUCAUUUCAGACUCCUAGUAGGGGAAUACAAACUUACAGUAUAAGAACCUUUCCCCUAGAAAAUCCACCAUGGGGGAAGUAUCCGCUGCACAAUCCAGUGGUUUUGUCUGAAGCAUUAGACAUGUUAUCGUGGCACAGGUGGGUAGUGUAGAUAUUCUCACGCACAGGGCCCGCAGGCGGACAUUUCCCUGCAAGCUACGUCUCGUUUUUUUUCUUUUCCUGUAUCUACUUCCUUCGAGCACUUGGUGACCCCUGCAGGCAAUGCUUCGCCUCUCUGCUCAUGCUGAGGCCUUGCCAGAGUGGCCUCUUGAAGGGCUGAUUUGGGAGCCCGUGACCCGAAGUCCAGCCGUGGAAGCCCUUCUUCAGCCUGUCCGGUGCUGGUGGUCGUGCUGCCCUCCUCGGGGCUCUGAUACAGACGGGAGCAUUUUAAGCCCGUGUGUUGGAGCUGUCAUCAGCCCCGAGACUUAGUGGGGAAGUGAUUUGUGACUCCAGUCAAGAACAUGGUGGUAUGUAGCCGACCAAGAUGGCCAUGAAGAGACUGAGAAAGGAGCCUCCAAACCAUUGUGCUCUAGUUUUAAAAUGAAGUGUGUUGUUUCUUCAACAGUAUCUCCUACUCACCUCGAGAACAAGCAGGGGGAGCAGCAGAGGGAGAGGGAGAAGCAGCCCUCCCCGUCCCCCACUGAGCAAGGAGCCCGUCGCGGGGCUCGAUUCCAGGACCCCGGGAGUAUGACCUGAGCUGAACCGAGUGAACCACCCAGGUGCCUGUGAGAUGGCAGUUUUAAAACAUUGAAUUUGGGUACCUGCCUUUUAUGUCCAGAACAAGUUUCUUAAGGAGGCACAGAAUAAAAGGGAAUAGAAGGAGAGAAGAGGGUAGUGCCCAAGAGAAGCCUUAGCUCCUGGUGCUCCUCUGCCAGGUUUCUGAUUGUGCCUAUUCCCUGGCAUUGUUCUGGAAGCCCCGGCCCUUACCUCCUCUGGGGCCCAUGGAAUGUCUCUUGCUGAAUUGCUGCUGGGGGCCUGCCAUGUGACAGGUAUGGAAUGAGGUCAUCUUUUCCCACCUCUAAUUUCUGAAGGGUGUGUCUGUCCAGUUAUUACUUGUUCAUUGAACUUAAAGGUUUAGAAACCAGCAGCUAUAGUACAAGCUGUAAUUAUUGAUGUCUGUUUCAUAUUCAUCUCUAAGUUCUGGCAUUUGAGCAAGAAGUUAAUAUAUCACUUCAUCUUCAGGCUGAAUGUGCCUCUGCUAUAAACAUUUUAUUGUUUGAUGGAUAGUGUAUAAUUAUGACUGCCCAGAAUAAAAAGUUUUCAUUUGUAAUGUGGUAAUACUAGAAGAAGUAA